AAGAGGAUGGAAGGAGGACAAGGGUGGGGACUGCGGAUGAAGGGUGUGAGUCCGUUGGUAAAAAUUUCCCUAGAUUUUGGAACAUUUUGAAUUUUCUUCCCUGUUUCCCUGUUGAGACCUAAAUUUCCCUAAAACAGGGAAAUCUCCCUGCAUCUGGCAGCUCUGAAAGGACCGGUGUUGCAAAGCCACCGACGCACAUGAAGUGCUGCCAAGUGCAGGAUAAUUACCUUGAUUUAGGGUAAUUCUAGCACUCACGGUAACAUUAUUUCAUUUCAGGCACUGUAUACAUCUGCUCAUUCUGUUGAUCUGGUAUGGUGCUGGUGCAGGACGAGCCCAAGUAAAGAACCGACUGUGCAUGUGACCAACAGGAAUGGAUGUGCAGGCUCUGAGUUCAACCAGCCCAGGACCACAAAUCACCAUGAGUGUCUCUCCAUUGACCCCCACAUAGGCAAGCAGUUGCCACUCUCCACCUAAUUACAAGUUUUGUAAAUUGUAGAUGAACAAAAUGAGUUACAGUGGUAUCUAGCUUUCCAUUUUUUGGCUUGUUUAUCAUGUCAUAUGUGCAUUCAUCCACACAGUCACUUGAGAACUAUGGAUUCAUUGGG